UACGAGGGGGGCAAGCGUUGUUCGGAAUUAUUGGGCGUAAAGGGUGCGUAGGCGGUUUUGUAAGUCUUGUGUGAAAUCUUCAGGCUCAACUUGAAGACUGCACGAGAAACUGCAGGGCUUGAGUGUGGGAGAGGUGAGUGGAAUUCCUGGUGUAGCGGUGAAAUGCGUAGAUAUCAAGAGGAACACCGGAGGUGAAGACGGGUUGCUGGGCUGACACUGACGCUGAGGCGCGAAAGCUAGGGUAGCAAACGGG
rnacentral:rRNA from 1 species